rnacentral:tRNA from 1 species
GUCUAGAUAGCUCAGUGGUUAAGAGCAUGGGAUUGAAGAUCCUGUAGUCAUAGGUUCAAAUCCUAUUCUGGACA